UACGUAGGGGGCUAGCGUUGUCCGGAAUCAUUGGGCGUAAAGCGCGUGUAGGCGGUUCGGUAAGUCUGCUGUGAAAGUCGGGGGCUCAACCCUCGAAUGCCGGUGGAUACUGUCGGGCUAGAGUACGGAAGAGGCGAGUGGAAUUCCUGGUGUAGCGGUGAAAUGCGCAGAUAUCAGGAGGAACACCGGUGGCGAAGGCGGGUCUCUGGGACGGUACUGACGCUGAGACGCGAAAGCGUGGGGAGCGAACAGG
rnacentral:rRNA from 1 species